rnacentral:rRNA from 1 species
UAGGGAAUAUUGGUAAUCUGGGAAACCGGGAACCAGCAACGCCGCGUGUGAGAUGAAGGCCUUCGGGUUGUAAAGCACUUUUUGAGGGGAUGAGGAAGGACAGUAUCCUCUGAAUAAGCCUCGGCGAACUACGUGCCAGCAGCCGCGGUAAAACGUAGGAGGCUAGCGUUAUCCGGAUUUAUUGGGCGUAAAGCGCGUGCAGGCGGUCUAGUUAGUUGGAUGUGAAAGCUCCUGGCUUAACUGGGAGAGGUCGUUCAAUACUGCUAGACUAGAGAAUGGGAGAGGGAGGUGGAAUUCCGGGUGUAGUGGUGAAAUGCGUAGAUAUCCGGAGGAACACCAGUGGCGAAAGCGGCCUCCUAGACCACUUCUGACGCUAAGACGCGAAAGCUAGGGUAGCAAACG